UACGUAGGGGGCAAGCGUUGUCCGGAUUUAUUGGGCGUAAAGAGCUCGUAGGCGGUGUGUCGCGUCGGCCGUGAAAACCUGCAGCUUAACUGUGGGCUUGCGGUCGAUACGGGCAUCACUGGAGUUCGGCAGGGGAGACUGGAAUUCCUGGUGUAGCGGUGAAAUGCGCAGAUAUCAGGAGGAACACCGGUGGCGAAGGCGGGACUCUGGGCCGAUACUGACGCUGAGGAGCGAAAGCGUGGGGAGCAAACAGG
rnacentral:rRNA from 1 species